GCCGACGUGGCGGAAUUGGUAGACGCGCNNGCGCACGACUCAAAAUCGUGUGAUAGCAAUAUCGUGUGGGUUCGAUUCCCACCCUCGGCA
rnacentral:tRNA from 1 species